AAUUCUUCUCCAUCAAGCCAUAUCAAAGGUUUAUUAUCCACUUUUACCACCUCAACAUAUAUCUCCCAAAAUUGAGCCUCAAGUCCAUUAUUUCCCACAACUUUAUUGGGGUUCUUACUUACAAAAGUUCCUAAUGCUACAUUGAGAUGAUAUAUUUUGGAACUCUUUAUCAUAACUUUAUUUCCUUCUUACAAAUAGAAAUUCAUAUGUAAUAAUAUAAACUAUCAAAAAAAAGCUUGAAUAAUAAAUUUUCAAGAUAAAUCAUGUCAAGUAAGAUUCAUUUGCCUUAAGAGAAGAAGCAUGCUAUAACUUUAUUCUUUUUGUUUUAUUUUUCUAUACUAUAAAAAUAUUAUUAUUAGUUUUCAUUAUAGAUUAAUGCCCAGUUUAGCUAUCAUUGAGUUGAGUUUCCACCAUCGUCUAAGUGUUUAGGUUGUAUCUUUCGUGCAAAAGAGAUUCAGUACCUUCUAUCAUGGUGUCAACUAUUGGAUCAUACUAUAGCCACUU
rnacentral:lncRNA from 1 species